GUGUCAGCCGCCGCGGUAAUACAGAGGGUGCGAGCGUUAAUCGGAUUUACUGGGCGUAAAGCGUGCGUAGGCGGCUGAUUAAGUCGGAUGUGAAAUCCCUGAGCUUAACUUAGGAAUUGCAUUCGAUACUGGUCAGCUAGGGUAUGGGAGAGGAUGGUAGAAUUCCAGGUGUAGCGGUGAAAUGCGUAGAGAUCUGGAGGAAUACCGAUGGCGAAGGCAGCCAUCUGGCCUAAUACUGACGCUGAGGUACGAAAGCAUGGGGAGCAAACAGGAUUAGAUACCCCAGUAGUCC
rnacentral:rRNA from 1 species